rnacentral:rRNA from 1 species
UAACGGCGAGUGAACCGGGAAGAGCUCAAAUUUGAAAUCUGGCGUGCUCAGUGCGUCCGAGUUGUAAUCUAUAGAGUCGUUUUCCGUGCCGGACUGUGUCCAAGUCCCUUGGAACAGGGUAUCAAAGAGGGUGAUAAUCCCGUACUUGACACAAUGACCGGUGCUCUGUGAUACGUCUUCUACGAGUCGAGUUGUUUGGGAAUGCAGCUCAAAAUGGGUGGUGAGUUCCAUCUAAAGCUAAAUAUUGGCGAGAGACCGAUAGCGAACAAGUACCGUGAGGGAAAGAUGAAAAGCACUUUGGAAAGAGAGUUAAACAGUACGUGAAAUUGUUAAAAGGGAAACGAUUGAAGUCAGUCGUGACUGAGAGGCUCAGCCGGUUCUGCCGGUGUAUUCCCCUCAGUCGGGUCAACAUCAGUUUUGUUCGGUGGAUAAGGGCAGUUGGAAGGUGGCACCCUCGGGUGUGUUAUAGCCAGCUGUCGCAUACAUCGGAUGAGACUGAGGAAUGCAUCUCGCCUUUAUGGCCGGGGUUCGCCCACGUUCGAGCU